UCCCGGCGGGAGCCUCGCCUCUUCCUGCCACUCCAGUACGGCUCCCGUCUCCGCCCUUGCCACCGCAUUGCUUCUACUGUCCUGCCCUCAGCUGUAUUUUAGGCGGACGUGGAAACAAAGACCCAUAGUUGGACUUUUAUUUUGGGUUCAGUGGCCCACAAGCACUGAGGAAUAGGCGUGGCAGUGGAAGCAGGCACGGGAGACGCAGAGCGCUUGGCGGAAGCUGUCCCGCCCCCUGGCUGAACGUUGGCUCCCACGCACUACAAUUCCCAGCAUGCCAUUCGAGCAAGGGCGGAGGCGGAACCGGAGUGUCGUCAUAGCAACUGAAUCAACUACCUCGCGGAGACUUCUCAAGGUAAAGUUUGCUAGGCGCCAUGAAAAACCGUGAUUCUGUUUAAUGACACCAUGCCAAGCCCCUAAAUGAGAUUCUAUUUCUGUUAAUAACUACUCUGUUCAGACCCUAUACAGGCGUUAUGUCCCAUCCUCACUACAAUUCCAUGAGGUAGAAAAAAAAAAAAAAGAGAAACGGGUAAGGGACUUAUCUGAGAAGACUUUGAAGGUGGCCUCUAUCUGAUCACUGUCUGGGAUAGUGCACCGUAUUAUUCAUUAAGCCUAGAACAGUUCAAAGUGAAUGACUGUUUUUUUUGCUCAAUUCGGUAUAGCAUGAAUGCCACUUUGGUGCCUACCAACCACAAUGGUGUUAUUUUGGAGUUUGCAGAUGGACCAAAGGAUGUCAGAAAGGGAGAAGGAUUUACCUGAGGUACCUGGCUAAGAGUUCACGAGAGGUGGAAGUGGAUGAAAGAGGACAGUGUGCCCUGUUUGUACAGCGUGAGAAAGAGGUUUCUGGGGUGGACAUCAGUUAUUGAGCCGAGACCCGGAAAGAAGAAUAAAAAGGCGGGGGAUUUAACUUUGCGUGAUCAUUUCCAUGAAUGGGAAAGGAGAAGUAGGAGGGAUACUGCCCUGUGUCCCUGUUAAUUCUCUCUCACUCGCUUAGAGCUAUGAUUGCCUGAGGGGGGUCUUGUGCCCCAGUUGUGGCAGUGGUGGACUCAUCGGAGGCCCCUGCUCGGGGCUGUGACCUCUCACGGGCUGAAGGCACAGACUUCAGUUCCCAACUGGCCGCCGUUAGAUGCUUGGCCUACCCUUUACCCUCCCUCAAAGAGAGUAGAGGCGGUGAGGGUAGAGGGCAAGAGCCCUGAAUGUCCUGUGUAGGGAACAAGCUUCUGAACCUCCUACUAACUAGUUCCCCAACCUUGGGCGCCUGUUGCCUAAGCUGUGAAAACGGAGAUGAUACCACCUGUUUGGCGAUGAAGGCACCUGGCAAAUACUUGUUCUGGUCCCGCUUAAUCUUCACGACGGUAUGAGGGAUCGUUCCCAUUUUCCAGAUGUGGAGAAGGAGGCUCAGAGAGGCUAACACGGUGGUGGAGAUGGGCACCCCUGUCGUGUAGCCCAGCCUCUGCUGUGCUGCCUGCGGUAGAAAAGGAGAUCACUGAAAUAAAAUGGUUUACCAUGUU